rnacentral:rRNA from 1 species
GAUGAACGCUGGCGGCGUGCCUAAUACAUGCAAGUCGAGCGAACAGACGAGGAGCUUGCUCCUUUGACGUUAGCGGCGGACGGGUGAGUAACACGUGGAUAACCUACCUAUAAGACUGGGAUAACUUCGGGAAACCGGAGCUAAUACCGGAGAAUAUAUUGAACCGCAUGGUUCAAUAGUGAAAGACGGUUUUGCUGUCUCUUAUAGAUGGAUCCGCGUCGCAUUAGCUAGUUGGUAAGGUAACGGCUUACCAAGGCAACGAUGCGUAGCCGACCUGAGAGGGUGAUCGGCCACACUGGAACUGAGACACGGUCCAGACUCCUACGGGAGGCAGCAGUAGGGAAUCUUCCGCAAUGGGCGAAAGCCUGACGGAGCAACGCCGCGUGAGUGAUGAAGGUCUUCGGAUCGUAAAGCUCUGUUAUUGGGGAAGAACAAAUGUGUAAGUAACUAUGCACGUCUUGACGGUACCUAAACAGAAAGCCACGGCUAACUACGUG